ACUAAGUACGAGUUUUAUACUUGUAAUCAUAGAGUUUCUUUGUGCGAGUCUAGAUAAAGGACUAUUUCUAUCUGUGGAGCGCACGCGCACCGUGUCGCACUGUGCACGCGCACAUACAGUUUUACAAGUCGUGUCUGAACAUUUAACGUUGUUGGAAAACGUAUUGGACAAUUUCGUUCACUAUUAGGCGUUUUGUUGGGAUUUCCGGACUACCAUCAUGUUCCAGUUUGAGACAUUUGAUAUACUACGGAAAUUAUCACAGGUCAUGUAAAAUUACUUGAUUUCUAUAGGUAUCUUAGUACUUUUUAAAUUAGAAAUUUAUUGCUGAGAAAAAUAAUAUAAAAACCGAUAUGACUUAGCUCGUACUAAAAGUAGAAAAGAUCUAUUUGAUUGUUGAUGAUACCAGGACUGGUUGUUUCGACUGUUUCGUUUAUAGUCGCAUUAAACAUGUUUGCACAAAAUCAAACAAUUUAAUAAGACAUCACUAUCACCAUAGUUAUAGAUAUUUUGACAAAAAAAUUGUUAUAUAAAGGCAUUUUAAUAACUAAACCUAUCUAUAAUUGUAUUAAAUUUUACAUUCAUUUAAGUCCUUUCUUAUUUUUAAUAUUGACUAACUCUAAUUUAUUAAUACAAUUUAAAGUUAGUCGAUACAAAUAAUCUGGCCGUGAAAAAAUACAACCGUCAAAAAUCAAAAGAAUGCGAAAUAAUAGUAAUGUUGAGGCGGAAUACACGCACUGCACAUUUUCAUUACAGCUGUGUGUGCAUAGCAUUAGGCCGAUUAAAAAGUAAACGCGACUGCUUAGGUCUAGUAUGGGACUUGUAAUAGAGACGGACCUUAGUUAUCGAUAUUUAAGGAAUUUCGAAUGUAUCUUAGCUUUGAAGAAGACGUCUUGAUUCAAAAAUAAUUAAAAAUUAAUAUAAUUAUGUUAUCGAUAUUCUAAUUACUGUUUAUGUAUAUAAGAUGUAAAUAUUAAAUAAAAAAAUAAAGGACUCCACUUCUAACAAGUCGGUUUAUUAUGUAAAAAACGGUAUUCUGAAAAUAUCUAAGGCAACAACAUUUCGUUUCAGCCACUGAUGAUAUUACGCAAAAGUUGAUGAAAGGCAGAAAGAAUUAUCAAUUCGAACAAAGUACAGAAACUCCUGCCAACACACCAUUAUACUUCUUAUAAAUAAACACAUCGCGACGUACCCAAAAUGAAGCCAAAACCUACGCCUCAACGAAUCCUUUAGAAGAAGUCAAAGAGCCGAUGGUCCAAACUCCAGAGCCCUGAGAACUGUUUGAAAGAUUUAUUCGAUUCCCAGCCUAUCUUUAGACUGAAACAAUGUAUGAGAAUAAGGAAGUAACGAAGUUUGCUGUAUCUCCAAUAACAAUAGUUAAAAAUAGGCAUGAGUUUUAGAAAGGACUUGUAAAUAAUGAAAUACCUUCCUCAUCGUGUGUAAGAAUGAUUGUAUUUGCAUUUAUAAUACUUGUGAGAUCUGAUGUAAUGUACCAACUUCGGUCUUAGAUAAUAUAUUGUUGUUGUUAUACUAUGUGAAGAGUGUGGUCACUGAAGAUGCCGCCGGCACAUAUUGUCAUUGAUAAUUAGAAAUUGAGUCGUUUAUAUUUUAUAGGACACAUUAUAAUAACUUCUCGUUGGAUAUCUUGAAUUCUAAACUACCAUAACAUCCAACAAAACAAGCCACAAUCAGACAUGUUCACGGAAACGUUCGCGUAAUGCGUGUUUCUGCCAAGUCACAAAUCGAAAAGGCACGCUUUUACAAUAAUGCAUUGAACAUUUCUUAUUUUCAAAACGCAAUAUUCUAUCGGUAAUGCAUAAAAGAACUCGCAACACGAGCUGCGCGUGCGCUGGAAUUCCUAUGAGUCGAACAUAACAAAAACGAAAUCCUAUCCAGCAUUAGAAUCUAAAAAGGGAUCAUAAAAUCUCGGCAUUAGAAAAACAAGUCGAGAUAGGCCGAGAAAAAUAAAUUCACGACCCACGCACGCGACCUAUCCCAACGGACACACACGGUGCUCGCGCGAAAAAACGUAAAAAGCGAACGAAAAAAAAAUUCAAGCAAAAACGUUGCCGACGCGAAUAUAUCCGAGGCGAAUGAACUGCGAAAAAUAAGACGAAAAAGGUACGCCCUCGCACAUGUGCGUUCGUCCAUUUUUUUGUUUCCGUCUCGUUCUAGCGCCAAAAAAGGCUCGGGUGCGCACGCGCGCGAAAGGGACGCGCUAAAAGAAAGCGCGCGGAAAGAGUUGGCCGGUCGUUGGCGCGGUACCGGCUAGUUGCGAGCGUUGCCGCCAGGGGCGCUGGCGCGGCGGGAAAAUUUCUUCCUGUUUUGAGUUUAUGCGCGCGCCUUUUGAGUUUUUUUUUUGCGGUCAUAAUAGUAUUCUUAUUAUCUAUGGUUUGAAUUUAUAGACGUCGUAAAAAUAUCGGUCUUGCGUUUUAAAAGUAAUUAUAGUGUUUCUAUGUUGUGAUAAUGUUCGGCCGUGAAAUAUUUUUCUAAAGGAGAAUGUAACAGUUCUUCUUUUUUUAUUAAUUAAAAUUCUAUCCAAU